GCCCCCGUGGUCCAACGGACAGGACACCGGCGUCCGAAGCCGGAGGCGCAGGUUCGACUCCUGCCGGGGGCG
rnacentral:tRNA from 1 species